GAGUGGUGACCGAGUGGUUGAAGGUGCUCGCCUGGAAAGUGAGUGUGCCUUACAAAGGGUACCGGGGGUUCGAAUCCCUCCCACUCC
rnacentral:tRNA from 12 species